rnacentral:rRNA from 1 species
GUCCAGACAGUGGAAGGAUUGACAGAUUGAGAGCUCUUUCUUGAUUCGCUGGGUGGUGGUGCAUGGCCGUUCUUAGUUCGUGGUGUAAAUUGUCUGUGUCAAUUCCGCUAACGAACGAGACCUUAACCUGCUAACUAAUGUGGGGCAGAGGAAACCUGGUCCCGCAAGGGAUUGGGAGCUCUGGCAGAAUAUCCUGCUUCGAGCCAUGAGGGGGCGUCGCAAGAUGAACCUUUGUGGUGGAGUAGGAGCCCGCUUCUUAGAGGGACUAUUCGCGUUCCAGCGAGUGGAAGAUUGAGGCAAUAACAGGUCUGUGAUGCCCUUCGAUGUCCUGGGCCGCACGCGCGCUACACUGAUAGGGAGAAUGAGCACGGGCCGUUCCUUUAGGGCAACCUAGAGGAGAAGCGGCACCCCUGGGCCGAGAGGCACUGGGUAAUCUGAGAAAACCCUAUCGUGCUGGGGAUAGACCUUUGCAAUUAUUGGUCUUGAACGAGGAAUUCCUCGUAAGCGCGGGUCAUCAGCUCGCGCUGAUUACGUCCCUGCCCUUUGUACACACCGCCCGUCGCUCCUACCGAUUGGAUGAUCCGGUGAAGAUGAUGGAUGCCUUUGGGCAGAAAUCAUCUAAACCUUAUUAUCUAGAGGAAGGAGAAGUCGUAACAAGGUUUCCGUAGGUGAACCUGCGGAAGGAUCAUUAAAAAG